GCAGAGAAUGCACCUGGUGGAGGUUGGGGUGGUACAAACAGGAAUGAGCUCCGAAAGAUAACACACUUCCCGUGAGUAACAGACUCCAGAUGAGGAAGAGAACUUACAGCUCACACGUGGAUGGGAACUUUUAAAAUUGCAAUGGUGAUUUCUAAAGAGGCGAUAAAGUCAAGAGCAGAAUGAGUGAAUGAACAAACAAAAACAUGGACAAAUCAGGGUGAAGAGCACUGAAAUAAUGACACAAAAUUUCAAAAUCCAUGGACAAAUCAGGGUGAAGAGCACUGAAAUAAUGACACAAAAUUUCAACACUGAGAGGAACCUCAGAGAUCAUCUAGCAAAGGAAUUGGCUCACAUAACCGUGGAGGCUGAGAAGUCCCAUAAUCUGCAGUCCAAAGGCCUGAGAACAAGGAGAGCCAACGGAAUAAGUUCCAGUUUGAGUCAGUCCAAAGGCAGUAGAAGACGAUGUUCCAGCUUGAAGGCUUUCAGGCAGAGAGAGUGAAUUCUCUCUGGCUCAGCCUUUUGUUCUACUCAGGCCUUCAAUGGAUUGGAUGAGGCCCACCCACAUUGAGAAGGGCCAUCUGAUUACUCAGGCUACUGACUCAAGUGUUAAUCUCAUCCAGAAACACUCUGACAGACAUACCUCAGAAUAAUGUUUAACAAAAAAUCUAGGCACCCCAUGGCCGAGUCAAGUUGACCCAUAAAAUUAACCAUCACAAGGACAGAAGAAGGAAGAAAGUCCUCUGUGGGUGUACUCCUAAAAGCUUAUUGCUACAGACACAGAUGGGGUCUAUUUCGCUGGGUGUCCACCUUACAGAGCCCAUUCUGGAACCUAACAUGUCUGCAGAUGAAGCUACUCAGAUGACUCCCAGACUGUGACUUGAACACUCUUCUUAAAUGAAGCUAUUGACCAUAUGGGAAGAAAUAGGGUUUUAGAACACUAAUACCUAUUAAGGAUUAAAAAAAAUAUUCUGGAGUAUUUUUGUCUUCUUUUGGUUAAUAACAAAUUCGGGGAGAUGGGGAAAGGCAAAUUUGGAAACAUUUGUGUCUCGUGACGAUCUGGCAGGAGAAAUGGCACGUUGUUGACAGCUUCUUUACUUGACUUAUUAAGAGGACAUCAGUUUCAGGCAUUCAUCUGCAAACAAGGUCCCAGGACAUAGAAGAUACUCAGAGGCUGAUUCUUCUUUAGAACAAACUGAUUAUUUGAUAUUAAUAGAGAUUCAAACUGUUCCUCAUAAGAAGCUGCUUCAGAAUAUAAGAACCUGGAGGAAUCUAUUCCCCUUCAAUAUUUGGCAAGCAAAUAUAAGACAAGAGUAUUUUAAUGACCAUUUUUUUAAAAGAUUUUUCUGUCCUGGUUAGUCUAAGUCAGAUUUUUAGGCACAUGAUUUGUCAAAGAUCUAUAAUUCCCUCAUUUUGCUAACUUGCUUCAAGCUUUCAUAAUUUUCCAUUGACCUAGAAUUUCUCCAGCCCAGA